GUUUAUUUGUAGCACUUCUGGGAGAAAUGCCAAACCCCUUGAACAUUAGCAUUCCUGAAACUUUACAUUCUCUUUUCUUAAAAUCAUUCUUCUGGAAAAGCAAACAAAGGAACCUGAAUUUACUUGGAGAAAUCAAGAAAAUAAACCUGUAGCAGCCAAUGAAUGGAGACAGAAGUGGACAGAGAAGUGAUCACAGCAUUUAAAGUCACUUUUCUUGUAAUAAUUUUAAGGUUCCAGAAUAUUCCAUUAAGGUUCUGAGAUAAACGCUAGAAAGAACUUUUUGGCUGCCUUACCAAGAAGAACAACAGUUAUUGAAUUCCAGGACCCACCAAGAUCUGUGUCUUUGGGUUUUCCUUCUCUGGAGGAAAAUGACAUUGUUAUUGUUCUAACUUUAUUUUUAUACACACUACAAAUAAAAUGUAUGUUACAAAUGUA